GAGUCCCAUCUCCGAAACGUCGUUUUACGUUUUUUAUUUUUUACUAGACGAUGGAUAAUAUCCAAGGAAAUUUUUAUUCAAAUAGCGAUGGAAUGACAUUACAAGGAGAAUAUCGAAGGACUUUUUUUAAAAAAGAAAAAACCUGUCCAUUUGCAAUUACGAACUGUGGUUGUGAAAAUCCGGAAACUUACCACCUGAACUAGGGCACAGCCACAACGGGACUGGACAAAAAAAAGUGAUGAUUAGUUUUCAUCGUACUGAGCAAUGAAUUGUAACCAUGGAAACGUGGCCUUGAUUUACAUAUUGUUCCUUUGUGUAUUGAGCGGAUGGUCCUCCUUCGGAACUGACAUAACUCCGCUAGUUAAGAAGUGCCCGCAACUUUUACGGAGCCCGAAGGUUCUGCCCGCAAAUGGACUCUGCCCUCAGUCAGGUUUAGGAAGUGCCAGCCAAAUUGCAGGUGCGGGAGAAGAUGUGGCAAUUAUCUCAAAACACGCCUACAUACACGUUUCCUGCCAGAGCACCGAAUCUAUCUCUCCAUGAAGCAGAGACCAUCCUGAGAAGCUAGUAGUCACCUAGCUGGUUUUGUGGAAUCUGAAGUUUUAUCAACCGCCAAAGGAUUCUGCCUUAAAGCACGCCGAGACUUAAACGAGAGGAUGAAUUGGACGCGAAGCAGAGGGAAAGAAGAACAUGGGAUGAAACUGAUAAAUAGGGGUGUGGAAAGACAGAUGAGUGGAGAGGUGUGGUUACCAGAUGACCGGUUUUAUGUGUAGGUACCUUAAGAUUAAGAAAAGAAAAUGCCUAUGUAAUUUUUAUACUAGUAUAUUUUAAUGUAAAAUAUUUUAAAAUGCUGUGAAUCAAUAAUCGAUAUCUGUAAUGAA